GACGGAGGGUGCUAGCGUUAUUCGGAAUUAUUGGGCGUAAAGGGUGUGCCGGCGGUCGGUCAAGUCAGAUGUGAAAGCCCGGGGCUCAACCUCGGAAGUGCAUUUGAAACUGGUCGACUUGAGUUCGGGAGAGGGAAGCGGAAUUCCGGGUGUAGAGGUGAAAUUCGUAGAUAUCCGGAGGAACACCGGUGGCGAAGGCGGCUUCCUGGCCCGAAACUGACGCUGAGACACGAAAGCGUGGGGAGCAAAUAGG
rnacentral:rRNA from 1 species